GAGAAAUCCAGAAAUUAGUCAUAUGUUGAAUAAUCCAGAUAUAAUGAGACAAACGUUGGAACUUGCCAGGAAUCCAGCAAUGAUGCAGGAGAUGAUGAGGAACCAGGACCGAGCUUUGAGCAACCUAGAAAGCAUCCCAGGGGGAUAUAAUGCUUUAAGGCGCAUGUACACAGAUAUUCAGGAACCAAUGCUGAGUGCUGCACAAGAGCAGUUUGGUGGUAAUCCAUUUGCUUCCUUGGUGAGCAAUACAUCCUCUGGUGAAGGUAGUCAACCUUCCCGUACAGAAAAUAGAGAUCCACUACCCAAUCCAUGGGCUCCACAGACUUCCCAGAGUUCAUCAGCUUCCAGCGGCACUGCCAGCACUGUGGGUGGCACUACUGGUAGUACUGCCAGUGGCACUUCUGGGCAGAGUACUACUGCGCCAAAUUUGGUGCCUGGAGUAGGAGCUAGUAUGUUCAACACACCAGGAAUGCAGAGCUUGUUGCAACAAAUAACUGAAAACCCACAACUGAUGCAAAACAUGUUGUCUGCCCCCUACAUGAGAAGCAUGAUGCAGUCACUAAGCCAGAAUCCUGACCUUGCUGCACAGAUGAUGCUGAAUAAUCCCCUAUUUGCUGGAAAUCCUCAGCUUCAAGAACAAAUGAGACAACAGCUCCCAACUUUCCUCCAACAAAUGCAGAAUCCUGAUACACUAUCAGCAAUGUCAAACCCUAGAGCAAUGCAGGCCUUGUUACAGAUUCAGCAGGGUUUACAGACAUUAGCAACGGAAGCCCCGGGCCUCAUCCCAGGGUUUACUCCUGGCUUGGGGGCAUUAGGAAGCACUGGAGGCUCUUCGGGAACUAAUGGAUCUAACGCCACACCUAGUGAAAACACAAGUCCCACAGCAGGAACCACUGAACCUGGACAUCAGCAGUUUAUUCAGCAGAUGCUGCAGGCUCUUGCUGGAGUAAAUCCUCAGCUACAGAAUCCAGAAGUCAGAUUUCAGCAACAACUGGAACAACUCAGUGCAAUGGGAUUUUUGAACCGUGAAGCAAACUUGCAAGCUCUAAUAGCAACAGGAGGUGAUAUCAAUGCAGCUAUUGAAAGGUUACUGGGCUCCCAGCCAUCAUAGCAGCAUUUCUGUAUCUUGAAAAAAUGUAAUUUAUUUUUGAUAACGGCUCUUAAACUUUAAAAUACCUGCUUUAUUUCAUUUUGACUCUUGGAAUUCUGUGCUGUUAUAAACAAACCCAAUAUGAUGCAUUUUAAGGUGGAGUACAGUAAGAUGUGUGGGUUUUUCUGUAUUUUUCUUUUCUGGAACAGUGGGAAUUAAGGCUACUGCAUGCAUCACUUCUGCAUUUAUUGUAAUUUUUUAAAAACAUCACCUUUUAUAGUUGGGUGACCAGAUUUUGUCCUGCAUCUGUCCAGUUUAUUUGCUUUUUAAACAUUAGCCUAUGGUAGUAAUUUAUGUAGAAUAAAAGCAUUAAAAAGAAGCAAAUCAUUUGCACUCUAUAAUUUGUGGUACAGUAUUGCUUAUUGUGACUUUGGCAUGCAUUUUUGCAAACAAUGCUGUAAGAUUUAUACUACUGAUAAUUUUGUUUUAUUUGUAUACAAUAUAGAGUAUGCACAUUUGGGACUGCAUUUCUGGAAACAUACUGCAAUAGGCUCUCUGAGCAAAACACCUGUAACUAAAAAAGUGAAGAUAAGAAAAUACUCUUAAAGCUGAGUAUUUCCUAAUUGUAUAGAAUCUUACAGCAUCUUUGACAAACAUCUCCCAGCAAAAGUGCCGGUUAGUCAGGUUUGUUGAAAAUACAGUAGAAAAGCUGAUUCUGGUUAUCUCUUUAAGGACAAUUAAUUGUACAGACACAUAAUGUAACAUUGUCUCAACAUUCAUUCACAGAUUGACUGUAAAUUACCUUAAUCUUUGUGCAGACUGAAGGAACACUGUAGUAUACCCCAAAGUGCAUUUGCCUAGGACUUCUCAGCUUCUCCCAUAGGUAGUUUAACAGGCAUUAAAAUUUGUAAUUGAAAUGUUGCUUUCAC
rnacentral:lncRNA from 1 species